UACGUAGGGGGCGAGCGUUGUCCGGAUUUAUUGGGCGUAAAGAGCUCGUAGGCGGUUUCGUAAGUCGAGUGUGAAAAAUCUGGGCUUAACCCAGUGGAGCACUCGAUACUGCGAUGACUUGAGUUUGGUAGAGGAGUGUGGAAUUCCUGGUGUAGCGGUGAAAUGCGCAGAUAUCAGGAGGAACACCAACGGCGAAGGCAGCACUCUGGGCCAGUACUGACGCUGAGGAGCGAAAGCGUGGGGAGCAAACAGG
rnacentral:rRNA from 1 species